UACGUAGGGUGCAAGCGUUAAUCGGAAUUACUGGGCGUAAAGCGUGCGCAGGCGGCUAUGCAAGACAGAUGUGAAAUCCCCGGGCUUAACCUGGGAACUGCGCUUGUAACUGGCAAGCUGGAGUGUGGCAGAGGGGGGUGGAAUUCCACGUGUAGCAGUGAAAUGCGUAGAGAUGUGGAGGAACACCGAUGGCGAAGGCAGCCCCCUGGGCUAACACUGACGCUCAUGCACGAAAGCGUGGGGAGCAAACAGG
rnacentral:rRNA from 1 species